rnacentral:rRNA from 1 species
GACGAACGCUGGCGGCGUGCUUAACACAUGCGAGUCGAACGGAAAGGCCCUGCUUGCAGGGUACUCGAGUGGCGAACGGGUGAGUAACACGUGGGUGAUCUGCCCUGCACUUCGGGAUAAGCUUGGGAAACUGGGUCUAAUACCGGAUAGGAGCCAUCUUUAGUGUGGUGGCUGGAAAGUUUUUUCGGUGUAGGAUGAGCUCGCGGCCUAUCAGCUUGUUGGUGGGGUAAUGGCCUACCAAGGCGGCGACGGGUAGCCGGCCUGAGAGGGUGUACGGCCACAUUGGGACUGAGAUACGGCCCAGACUCCUACGGGAGGCAGCAGUGGGGAAUAUUGCACAAUGGGCGCAAGCCUGAUGCAGCGACGCCGCGUGGGGGAUGAAGGCCUUCGGGUUGUAAACUCCUUUCGCUAGGGACGAAGCUUUGUUGUGACGGUACCUAGAUAAGAAGCACCGGCUAACUACGUG